rnacentral:rRNA from 1 species
GUGGGGAAUAUUGGACAAUGGGCGAAAGCCUGAUCCAGCCAUGCCGCGUGUGUGAAGAAGGUCUUCGGAUUGUAAAGCACUUUAAGUUGGGAGGAAGGGUAGUAACCUAAUACGUUGCUACUUUGACGUUACCGACAGAAUAAGCACCGGCUAACUUCGUGCCAGCAGCCGCGGUAAUACGAAGGGUGCAAGCGUUAAUCGGAAUUACUGGGCGUAAAGCGCGCGUAGGUGGUUCAGUAAGUUGGAAGUGAAAUCCCCGGGCUCAACCUGGGAACUGCUUUCAAAACUGCGGAGCUAGAGUACGGUAGAGGGGGGUGGAAUUUCCUGUGUAGCGGUGAAAUGCGUAGAUAUAGGAAGGAACACCAGUGGCGAAGGCGACCACCUGGACUGAUACUGACACUGAGGUGCGAAAGCGUGGGGAGCAAACAGGAUUAGAAACCCCUGUAGUCC